UUGGAGAGGGAGGAAGAGGAAGAAAGUGUGGAGACCCUCAGGAUGCUUUGUGGGGCCCCAUGGGCUCCCAUGGAGCACUCUUUGAGAACCAGUGUCCUAAUUUCAUUUUAGGAUGAUGUUUUUCAGAAGGAUACAAUGGCUGAUGAUCAUCAGAAGCCAAUAAGACAGAAGUAAGCAAGUGCAUAGGGGUCGGGGGGCAUUUUUAUCUCCUUGUCAGCCUAGUGUACAUUUUGAAAUGUCUGUCCCUUCCAACUGCCAUUUUCUUUUUUCUCUUUUCUUUUUAGGUUUGGGACAGCAGGACAUCACUAAAUUUCCCCCCUUUUUAAAUAAUUGAGGUUUGGGGAGCAUUAGGGAUUUAAGGACUGGAUGUUAUAUGGGCCACAUUUUGCCCACCCAUGCUAAGAGGUCCAGCAAAACCAAUAGGACUCCCUCAUGGUUCAGUCUUGUUUUCUAUUCCAUGAUUGGGAAAGGUCAUGGGGUACAAUUUCACCAAUAUGCUGAUGACACCAAUUUUACUACUUCUUUCCACUAAACUCCAAGAAAGUUAUCCUUGUGCUAAACCAGUGCCUGGCAACUGUGAUGGACUGGAUGAGGGCAAACAAAUUGAAGCAUAAUCCAAACAAGACAGAGGUACUCCUGGUCACUCAAAAGACAGAUCUGGCAUAUGUAAGAUGGGGUCACACUCCCUUCUGAAAAAUGCAGGUUUGCAGUUUGGACAUACUCCUGGAUUCGGCUAGUGCAUCAACUUUAUUACUACAGAAGUCAGAUCUGGCCAUGGUGCUACAUGAUUUGGUUACAUAUCUGUUGGAUUAUUGUUAUGCACUCUACAUGGGGCUGCCUUUGAAAAGUGCUCAGGAACUUGAGUUGGUCCAAAAGCAGUAACCAGGUUAUUAACUGGGGCUGGCUAUAGGAAACACAAAACUUCCCUGCUGCAACAGCUUUACUGGAUGCCAAGCCAUUUCUCAACACAAUUCAAAGUGCUGGCUAUGAUUUAUAAAGCCCUAUAUGUCUAGAGUCCAGGUUAUUCAGAUAACUGUUUUUCUAUGUUUGAAUCUCUGAGAACACUAUGAUCUUCUGGAGAGGGCCUUCUCUCUCCUCCACCUGGACUGUGUUGUUUGAACUGUAGUUUUUAUUCUAUUUUAUUCUAUUUUGUUGUUUUUAUGCUUCAUGACAUGUAGGAUUUGAUCGUUUUUCAUUUUUGUGUUUGAUACAUUGGAUUGUUUUUAGUAUUAUGCCAUGUUGCUGUUAGCCAUUAAAAAGGAGGUAUAGAAAUAUAGUAAAUAAACAUGUAAAUAAAUACCUCAUGCAUCAAGGUAAUAAAAACUGUCUAGCUGGCUAUCAGCUCGAUUAAAAAUGCUAAUCACCUGGGCAGUUUAGCCCCUGGAAGUUGCCAUAUCAACACAAGUAAUUUUGCGGUUUGCUAAUUGUAGGAAGCCUCUUUCAGCCCAAGGAAAACUUCAAUUUCUGGGAGGUUCACAUUCCAGUGAUGGCUGAUCUAGAAGGAUAGGAUUCAAAAUAUAAACACAUUUUCACUUAGAUUUCUUAUUGCUAAUAACAAACCGUAAGGCAUAUAUUUCAGUAUACAAAUAAAUAAUAUCAAGGCUGGGAAACCAUCAAAUGAUGAUGUCAAUGAGAAGUGGGUGUGAAACCUCAGAUUGGCAUUCCAGGAGGAGUGGAUUUGGCUCCAAGAAAUGGGUGUCUUAUUUUGGACACAAUAAUUCAAGAACGAUACUGACAAGCUGGAAGAUGUCCAGAGGAUGGUGAGCGAAAUGGUAGACAUGUUAUAUUGAAGAUGGAACAAGUUUUUUUUUGAUGCUCUGGAAUCUAGGAUGAGAAGAAAUGUAUGCCUUAGAUUGUUUUAAUAUUCAUAGUUUAAUUACAUUUUAACGUUGGUAUUUUGAUUUUUUUUUCAUGUCAGGAGCAACUUGAGAAACUGCAAGUCGCUUCUGGUGUGAGAGAAUUGGCCAUCUGAAAGGUCGUUGUUCAGGGAUCACUUGGAUGUUUUAAUGUUUUCACCAUCCUUGUAGGAGGCUUCUCUCAUGUUCCCACACGGAGCUGGAGCUGAUAGAGGGAGCUCAUCCGCGCUCUCACCGGGUUGGAUUCGAACCAGCAACCUUCAGACAAAAUUAUUAAAGAACAUGGAAGAGGCAACAAGAGAAUCAAUGGUUUUGGAUUGAAUCAGAACCAGAAGAGAUGAGCUGGUUAAUGGAGUAGAAGCAGUGGAAUCUUUUGGUGGGAAUGACCAUGUCAUCUUGAGAUUUGUGAUACAGAAGAAAGGGGAAAUUAGAUGUAAUCAGACUCAGGACUUCAGGAAAGCUGGUUCCUGCCAGAGGGCUCUUGUGCCUCACCAAACUACAAACUCCAGCAUUCCAUGGCAAUUAAAGUGAAAUCAUAAAGUCCCUAUGAUUCAGCAACCACCUUUAAGCCUAAUUUUCCGGGCUGUCCUGCUGACAAAAAGAAAAUCCCAAGACUUUUAUCAGCCUCUGUUAACACAUCACUGAAAUUGAGGGAUAAAUAUCUAACAAAUAAACAAGAUUUCCCUUGCUAA